AGUGGCGGACGGGUGAGUAACGCGUGAGAAUCUGCCUUCAGGUCGGGGACAACAGAGGGAAACUUCUGCUAAUCCCGGAUGAGCCUUAGGGUAAAAAAAUUUAUUGCCUGGAGAUGAGCUCGCGUCUGAUUAGCUAGUUGGUAAGGUAAAAGCUUACCAAGGCAACGAUCAGUAGCUGGUCUGAGAGGAUGAGCAGCCACACUGGGACUGAGACACGGCCCAGACUCCUACGGGAGGCAGCAGUGGGGAAUUUUCCGCAAUGGGCGAAAGCCUGACGGAGCAAGACCGCGUGGGGGAGGAAGGCUCUAGGGUUGUAAACCCCUUUUCUUUGGGAAGAACAAAAUGACGGUACCAAAGGAAUCAGCCUCGGCUAACUCCGUGCCAGCAGCCGCGGUAAUACGGAGGAGGCAAGCGUUAUCCGGAAUGAUUGGGCGUAAAGCGUCCGCAGGUGGCAAUGUAAGUCUGCUGUCAAAACCCAGGGCUCAACUCUGGUCAGGCAGUGGAACUACAUAGCUAGAGUUCGGUAGGGGCAAAGGGAAUUCCCGGUGUAGCGGUGAAAUGCGUAGAGAUCGGGAAGAACAUCGGUGGCGAAAGCGCUUUGCUAGACCGAAACUGACACUCAGGGACGAAAGCUAGGGGAGCGAAUGGGAUUAGAUACCCC
rnacentral:rRNA from 1 species